rnacentral:lncRNA from 10 species
GUUUCACUCUUGUCACCCAGGCUGGAGGGCAGUGGUGCAAUCUCGGCUCACUGCAACCUCCACCUCCCCAGUUCAAGCGAUUCUCCUGCCUCAGCCUCCUGAGUAGCUGGGAUUCCAGGUGCCCGCCACCAUGCCCAGCUGAUUUUUUUGUAUUUUUAGUAGAGACAGUGUUUCACCAUGUUGUGCAGGCUGGUCUUGAACUCCUGACCUCAGCUGAUCCACCUACCUCGGCCUCCUAAGGUGCUGGGAUUACAGGCAUGAGCCACUGCGCCCGGCCUCAAGUCCUAUUUUUAAACAAUAGUUAGGAAUAGAUACUGCUUAUAGAAAACCUUUUUUUAUUUUUGUUUUUCUUUAUUUUGUCACAUAGGUGGCCUGUUUCUUUCUUCACAAAUCAAUUUUCUUGUAAAAGGAAUUUAUUAUAGAAGAAAUCCUUAUUAAAUAAGAAAUCUGCCAGAAGUGGGGGGGGGGUGUUAAAUGACUAAUUUUGGGCUCAGCAGAGAGCAUGAAAACUAGUUUCUAAUCAGAAAGAGGACAACAUCAGAAAAUAUAGGAAGCUUGUGGCAAGAGCUCUGCAGGGGUCUGAACCCAGGUGUUCUGCACACCCGCGGUAGCGGUGAAGCAUCCAAAGGGAGAAGAGUUCCAAAUGCCACCUCAGCAGCUCAGAAUCCAGAACCAGAAAUGUAGCAGGGGUCCUGAUUUCUAGGAAGGUAUGUGCUUCACAGCACAGUCCAGUCCCCAGAGCUGCGUGUUCUUAAGUUGUAUGCCUUAAGAAAACUCAAUACUCACAAAUGCAAACUUCCUUCUGAGCCUCCAAACCUCACCACAUGAUGUUUUAAAACUCAGAGCUACUUUUAACUUAAAGUAUGCUUAUGUUUAACUUUUUUUUUUAAGGAGGGCUGUUGGAUUCAGUAAGGAAUGCCCACAGUUGUGCAAGGCAGUGCCUGGCAUUUAUUUAAUAUCAAAGAAUCUGAGGUUUUGUGCAGUCAUCACCACAGCCUCCCUGGUAUCAUGCUGGCCCUUUCCCAAGCGCAUCUUCGGAACGCUAGCUGCACAAGCUAUGCUUCAGAUAUCCUCAUGAAAGGGGGUUUCUGAAGUCAGCAAGAUUAGAAAAGGGUGGCAUGCUGCGCCUAUCAGAAAUCGAGGACUUUUGGAAAUCCUGCAACAACAGAGUUUGCUUAACUCAGCAUUUAUUUCCCAAAUGUACUUAACUAGAGACGCUUUGUCCCAGAACGUUGACAGGUAACAAAACCACCUUGGAGAAGAGUGCUUUGGAAUGAUGUCACAGUGGGAGGACCCAUCACUGUCAGACAGAAGGCAAACAGGGAAGCACCCGGAGUUCAAGGUCAGAGUGUAAGAACUCAUGGCCAUUUGAAAGAGCCAUGGUGACAGCAGCACAUCCCUCUACCCAGAGGAGGAGAGAACAGAAGGAAGGAAGAGGGCUUUGGCACGUGCACAGGAAAACACGGAAAGCCCGACUCUUCGUAUCCUGAAUUUAAUUGACCAAGAACUUGUAAAAAUACCAAGUCCCAGUGUCAGUAAUACCACAACACCAUGCGGCGGUCCCAAAGCUGGUGGGAAAAUGCUGUGGUGGAACAACUGUCCAGCACGGAUCCGGAGCCCGAAACCACACAGCACACAUGAGAAGAAAAAUAACCCCUCGUCACCAUAAUGCGUUUACCCAUUAGUCACAGAAUAACAUUUCUCAGAACUUACCCCCAAAUUGUGUCUAUUAAUGGGCUUUAUAAACUGUCGUCCAAAGAUCACAUCCUUACAUGUUCAUCUAUUACAUUUCAAACAAUAAAACCUCUGAAAAGGAAAAAAAAUGUUUUUGUAUUUGGCAUGCCUCGUUCUGUGCAAGUGAUGAGGAGACUUGAAAGCACAUUGGUCCUCGUCUGCACAGCCUAGUUCUGGGUUAAGCUGGUG